GACGAACGCUGGCGGCGUGCUUAACACAUGCAAGUCGAACGGAAAGGCCCUGCUUUUGUGGGGUGCUCGAUUGGCGAACGGGUGAGUAACACGUGAGUAACCUGCCCUUGUCUUUGGGAUAACUUCUGGAAACUGGGGCUAAUACCGGAUAGGAUCUCCUGCUGCAUGGUGGGGUUUGGAAAGUUUCGGCGGUUGGGGAUGGACUCGCUGCUUAUCAGAUUGUUGGUUGGGUAGUGGCUUACCAAGGCUUUGACGGGUAGCCGGCAUGAGAGGGUGACCAGCGAAAAUGGGACGGAGAGACGGAGCAGACGGCAACGGGAGGAAGCAGAGGGGAAUAGUGCAAAAUGGGAGGAAGCAAGAUGAAGAAACGCCGCGAGCGGGAUGACGGCCUUCGGGUUGUAAACAGAUUUAGAAUGAGACGAAGAGUGAGUGACGGUAAUGGGUAAAGAAGCACCGGCUAACUACGUG
rnacentral:rRNA from 1 species